GAUGAACGCUGGCGGCGUGCCUAAUACAUGCAAGUCGAGCGAACAGACGAGGAGCUUGCUCCUCUGACGUUAGCGGCGGACGGGUGAGUAAAACGUGGAUAACCUACCUAUAAGACUGGGAUAACUUCGGGAAACCGGAGCUAAUACCGGAUAAUAUAUUGAACCGCAUGGUUCAAUAGUGAAAGACGGUUUUGCUGUCACUUAUAGAUGGAUCCGCGCCGCAUUAGCUAGUUGGUAAGGUAACGGCUUACCAAGGCAACGAUGCGUAGCCGACCUGAGAGGGUGAUCGGCCACACUGGAACUGAGACACGGUCCAGACUCCUAAGGGAGGCAGCAGUAGGGAAUCUUCCGCAAUGGGCGAAAGCCUGACGGAGCAACGCCGCGUGAGUGAUGAAGGUCUUCGGAUCGUAAAACUCUGCUAUUAGGGAAGAACAAAUGUGUAAGUAACUAUGCACGUCUUGACGGUACCUAAUCAGAAAGCCACGGCUAACUACGUG
rnacentral:rRNA from 1 species